rnacentral:rRNA from 1 species
AUUGCCUUAGUAGCGGCGAGUGAAGCGGCAAAAGCUCAAAUUUGAAAUCUGGCACCUUCGGUGUCCGAGUUGUAAUUUGAAGAAGGUAACUUUGGAGUUGGCUCUUGUCUAUGUUCCUUGGAACAGGACGUCACAGAGGGUGAGAAUCCCGUGCGAUGAGAUGCCCAAUUCUAUGUAAAGUGCUUUCGAAGAGUCGAGUUGUUUGGGAAUGCAGCUCUAAGUGGGUGGUAAAUUCCAUCUAAAGCUAAAUAUUGGCGAGAGACCGAUAGCGAACAAGUACAGUGAUGGAAAGAUGAAAAGAACUUUGAAAAGAGAGUGAAAAAGUACGUGAAAUUGUUGAAAGGGAAGGGCUUGAGAUCAGACUUGGUAUUUUGCGAUCCUUUCCUUCUUGGUUGGGUUCCUCGCAGCUUACUGGGCCAGCAUCGGUUUGGAUGGUAGGAUAAUGACUAAGGAAUGUGGCUCUACUUCGGUGGAGUGUUAUAGCCUUGGUUGAUACUGCCUGUCUAGACCGAGGACUGCGUCUUUGACUAGGAUGCUGGCAUAAUGAUCUUAAGCCAC